rfam:Nomascus leucogenys chromosome 10, whole genome shotgun sequence.
UCUCAGGCUGUGACUCUGCAAAGGGAAGCCCUUUCUGUUGUCUGAAAGAAAAGAAAGUGCCUCUCUUUGGAGUGUUACGGUUUGAGA